UGCAGCCUUGUCAAAUUCAGUGCAUCUUCCACGAUGGAUGUCACUGGCCAAAAUGGCUGCUACAUUAAAAGUGUAGUUCAUGGGCCCUAUUGUGCUCCAACAUGGCCCUUGGGCAUAAAUAUGUCUACACACACUU